CAAUAGCGUAUAUUAAAGCUGUUGCGGUUAAAAAGCUCGUAGUUGGAUUUCUGUCAAGGACAACUGGUCCGCCCUCCGGGUGAGCACAUAGUUUGGUCUUGGCAUCUUGCUGGAAACGGUUGCUGCGCUUGGUUGUGUGGUGCAGCUUUCAGCACUUUCACUUUGAGGAAAUUGGAGUGUUUCAAGCAGGCACAUGCCUUUGGACACAGUAGCAUGGAAUAAUUAGAUUGGGCUUUUGCUCCAACUUGUUGGUUCCUGGAGCUGAGGUGAGAAUCAAUGGGGAUUGUUGGGGGCAUCCGAAUUUAGCCGUCAGAGGUGAAAUUCUUGGAUCUGCUAAAGACGGACAACUGCGAAAGCGUUUGCCCAGGAUGUUUUCAUUGA
rnacentral:rRNA from 1 species